AAUCCUCAACCCUUUUUGGCGUCGUCUCUAAGGGCUUGGACUUUGGAGGUCAUUGCCGGUCCUUUGUGGGAUCGGCUCCUCUUGAAUGCAUUUAGUGGAGCUUUGUUCCUGCCUGCCCUUCGGUGUGAUAAUUCAUCUGCAUCGAUCGAGUAAGGGACGUUCUCCGCUUCGAACGACGAAAC
rnacentral:misc_RNA from 1 species